GACGAACGCUGGCGGCGUGCUUAACACAUGCAAGUCGAGCGGUAAGGCCCUUCGGGGUACACGAGCGGCGAACGGGUGAGUAACACGUGGGUGACCUGCCCUCCACUUCGGGAUAAGCCUGGGAAACUGGGUCUAAUACCGGAUAGGACCAUGGGAUGCAUGUUCUGUGGUGGAAAGUUUUUCGGUGGGGAGUGGCCGCGUCUAUCAGCUUGUUGGUGGGGUGGAUGGCCUACCAAGGCGACGACGGAUAGCCGGCCUGAGAGGGUGAUCGGCCACACUGGGACUGAGACACGGCCCACGACUCCUACGGGAGGCAGCAGUGGGGAAGUCUUGCGCAAUGGGCGGAAGCCUGACGCAGCAACGCCGCGUGGGGA
rnacentral:rRNA from 1 species